AUGUUUCUUCAAGUUGCCAAGCUUGUUUGCUGAGGCACUCAGCACGAUAAUCUGUAUAUGGACAUUGGAAUUUAUAGAAGCUUUGUGGAGAAGGCAGAUUCAGAGACAGGAGGCCAGCCGUGAGGUUUGACAUUGAAGAGAAGGAAGGUAGAGCUUUACAUGUCAAAAAAUAUGCGUAGCCGUGAAUCAAAGUUAUUGUCGGACAUCUCCUCCCAGAAUUCCUUGAGCUGUUCUUUGGUUAUCCCAUCAGCUGGUUCUAUCUUCCUUCUCCUCGACAAUGCCACAAACACCUCGCUUGCGAAUUCCUUGGAGUCCGCCAUACCUUUACGAGGCAGAGCCGUUCUGGGCUUUAGAGGUUCAGUUUGUGCAUUGUAGGAACCAGUUUCAAAAAGAUAGAUUGCUAUUGUGAUGUCAGUUUUACAGGGUACGUCUGUAACUAUGUCCAGUGACGUGCUCAUAAAUUUGCUAUUCUUGCUGCGUGGUAAGAACCAAGGAGCAUCUGAAGGCUUACACUUGGAAGCCAAAUUCUGAAGUCCGUAAAAAAGUAAUUGAUCAAGUUUAUAUCCUCUGAAA